UACGGAGGGUGCAAGCGUUAUCCGGAUUCACUGGGUUUAAAGGGUGCGUAGGCGGGUAAUUAAGUCAGUGGUGAAAUCUUCAAGCUUAACUUGGAAACUGCCAUUGAUACUAUUUAUCUUGAAUGUUCUGGAGGUCAGCGGAAUAUGUCAUGUAGCGGUGAAAUGCUUAGAUAUGACAUAGAACACCUAUUGCGAAGGCAGCUGACUACGGAAAUAUUGACGCUGAGGCACGAAAGCGUGGGGAUCAAACAGG
rnacentral:rRNA from 1 species